GACGAACGCUGGCGGCGUGCUUAACACAUGCAAGUCGAGCGAUGAAGUUCCUUCGGGAAUGGAUUAGCGGCGGACGGGUGAGUAACACGUGGGUAACCUGCCUCAUAGAGGGGAAUAGCCUUUCGAAAGGAAGAUUAAUACCGCAUAAGAUUGUAGUGCCGCAUGGCAUAGCAAUUAAAGGAGUAAUCCGCUAUGAGAUGGACCCGCGUCGCAUUAGCUAGUUGGUGAGGUAACGGCUCACCAAGGCGACGAUGCGUAGCCGACCUGAGAGGGUGAUCGGCCACAUUGGGACUGAGACACGGCCCAGACUCCUACGGGAGGCAGCAGUGGGGAAUAUUGCACAAUGGGGGAAACCCUGAUGCAGCAACGCCGCGUGAGUGAUGACGGUCUUCGGAUUGUAAAGCUCUGUCUUCAGGGACGAUAAUGACGGUACCUGAGGAGGAAGCCACGGCUAACUACGUGCCAGCCGCCGCAGUAAAAC
rnacentral:rRNA from 1 species